UGAGUUAUAGUUUCACCAUUGUUGAGUGUGAGUGUAAGUGUGAGGGUGUUGAAGAGAGUUGGACUACUGGAAUGGUGGCUGUGUGUAGUCGACACAGCUGGCAGCUUCUAUUGACAACACUCCUCACCUGUCAUCAACGAUUCUCAGGUAAAAUGAGAGAGGAUCUAUCACCGUUCCAGAGUCGACGAUACGAUGUUUACCUGAAUACAAGUGUGAGUAACAGUCCUGUGAACAGUCAAAGCAUCCCACCUUUGUUGCGAUAGGCAACUCUUGUUUUGUACUUCUUUGUUGUAAUACAACUACUUGGACAGGCUGACAUCACAGGAACCUACAAAUCUACCACUGUCUGUGGCAAUGCAGAUUUUGCACAGUUCUCCAACAUUUCCACUGUCAUUGUUACCAUCAUCAUCAUCAUCACUAUGAUAUAUCAAAGAUUACUCCAGCUGGCCAUCUUCAUGGCGAUAAUUCUUCAGGUACCAGCUGGAAGGAAAUGUAAAUGGUCAAAUGAAGAUUGUUCAGACGAUUCUGAAUGUUGUAGUCACCAAUGCAAACAAGCACAUCCGGGGACAAAUUACAGAUGCACUCAGAAUCCAAUGAAUUACGCCUGUAUUUACGACUAUCACUGUGUUACUCGACUGAUCUGUGGCAGCGACCAACGCUGCUGUGCUGGUGAAUGGGGUGACUGUAUGCACAACUCGCAUUGUUGCGACCCUGCUCACAAUUGUAUUGAAGUCAAAGGCUUCAUUUAUAAACGUUGCCUUGAAGGAAAGACUAUACGAACAGCAACAGUUUCGAUUGUAGCCAUAAGCCAUUGCCUCCUUUUCUCACUUGGAUUGUGGUUAAUGUCAUUUUAAAGCAGAAGAAAACGGAUAAAAACGUGCCCCGUCACGUAUUUCAAACAUUUCAGGGGAGAUAACUAUUGGCUACUCUGUGAUACCAUAGUUUUCCAGAGAUUUCAAUGAAGAAAUAUAAAACUAAAAACGAAAUUUUCUCUUUAUUUCAAACUAGAGUUGCUAAGAUGUUUCCCGUUUUUAUCUGGAUAAAUUUGAAAAAAAAACAGUUUAGAAAGUUUAAUCAAACGACUUUACUGUUGCCUCGUUACUUGAUAGACUUAAAUUGUAGGGAACCAAUACUUAAUAAUUUGGGGUUUUUGUCGGGGAAAAGGAUGUUUCUGAUUCACUCUUUUCUUCCUCAAGAAGGCGUCCCUGAGUAUUUCUGGAUUAGCGAAGUUAUCUCCCCUGAAACACAAAUUUCGCCAAAUAACGCCAAACUCGUGACUGAAAUUUUUAUUCUCGUCGGUCAUCUACAUUUAUUCUUUCCGAUACAUUUAAUCAGUUGCUAAGAGUAAUGUCUUUCUAUUUCUUAUUUUUCAUAUAAUUCCACGUCAGUACCUAACUUUAUACAUCUCUUAACUUUCGUUGUUUCCUUAAAUGGUAGUGUGUGCCUCCAAAACACACUUGGGCAGAAUGGUAUCUAAGACCCUGGCUUGCCAGACAUCAGAAUUCCUUCCUUUUGUCUUGCCAGUAUGAUCCUGAGAAGAACGGAGUCACAUGCCUGGCAGUAGCUUGACCUCAAGGAAACUGGUGAUAAGUGCCUUGCCCAGGAACAUAUAUAGCCAUUGAGCUGCUCACUACAUUCAUGCAAAAUUAAGACUAUAGCAAAAGUUCUCAUUGAUUAAAUGAGAUGGUUUCUUUUACACACAUGCAUAUAACUUCCAAAAUAAUUCUUUAAAAUGUGUUAGAAGUUGGGGUUUUUUUUUCUUUUUCAGAAUUUUUAAACUAAAUAUGAGGAAAUUUUCUUUCCAUAGAUUGUGUGGUGUGUAUUUCUCACUAAUUUUCUUACGGUUUCUUCUCGAUUCUUUUUUUCAUUUAUAACGUUUAUUACUCUUGUUGCGGCUGGUUUAGCUGUGACCUAUUGGGAUGCUACCAUUUAAUAAACAAUUGAAGACUCAACUUGUAGGAAGUGCAACAUUGAUUUUCCACAUGACUUGCACUUACAGAACUGGAUCUUCAAUCUGUAGCAUCAAAAUUAUAUCAAACUUUCUUCGAAAAUCUAAAUUAAUAUUCAAAAACAUCUUUCGGGGUGAUAAUUCAAUGUAGAUAAACUAAUCAUUUGGGGUUAUUUACUUUUUAUCACCAAGUUAAAGGAGUAGCAGUCUUGAGCCCCCCCCCCUUUUUUUAAGGGCAUGUUUUGACUGCUAGCAGGAAGGCAAGAAGUUAUCCUCACAACAGACACCAAGUCCGAAUACUUGCCAGAGUAACUCCACUAAAUGGUUCUAAUGGUGUUUAAACAAGCAGCAGAUUAAGUCAACCAAACAAGAAUUGGGAGAAUCACCUCAACUGGUUGAUUCAAUUUCAUUCAUAUGGUUUUUGGUUGACAGUUACCUUUCAGAGGGAUCGAACUUGAAACUACAUAGUUAUAAAGGAACCUUCUUAGCCACACAGCUAAGCUGUACUUACUAAGAACCUGACCUGUGAAUAACUUUGUUAAUAAGCUGUAUUUGCUGCUAACAACCAUUGAAAGCGAGUGCUCAGGGUUGAAUUUAAAUUCACAAUUGCAGUUUAAUAAACUUGUAAAUUCAAGGAAAGCUGCAUUUAUUUCACAAUUCAGUUUUCUACGUUGAAACUAUACCCCAGGACCAUAAGUAAAAAAAAAAAA
rnacentral:lncRNA from 1 species